rnacentral:rRNA from 1 species
GACGAACGCUGGCGGCGUGCCUAAUACAUGCGAGUUGAGCGCUGAAGGUUGGUACUUGUACCGACUGGAUGAGCAGCGAACGGGUGAGUAACGCGUGGGUCAUCUGCCUUUGACCGGGGGACAACAUUUGGAAACGAAUGCUAAUACCGCAUAAAAACUUUAAACACAAGUUUUAAGUUUGAAAGAUGCAAUUGCAUCACUCAAAGAUGAUCCCGCGUUGUAUUAGCUAGUUGGUGAGGUAAAGGCUCACCAAGGCGAUGAUACAUCGCCGGCCUGAGAGGGUGGUAGGGCAAAUUGGGAAUGGGAAAAGGCCCAAGCUUCCACGGGAGGCAGCAGUAGGGAAUUUUCGGACAUGGAGGGAAGGCUGGAUGAGCAAAGCCGCGGGAGGGAAGAAGGGUCUCGGAUCGUAAAAGUCUGUUGGUAGAGAAGAACGUGGGGGAGAGUGGAAAGCUCAUGAAGUGACGGUACCUACCCAGAAAGGGACGGCUAACUACGUG